AUUUCUUAUGAACUUUUCAGAAAAAUUUAACAUUUUAGUGUAUUUCCAGAUGAAAUAUUACUUGUUCCAAAAGACAGUGGGCUGUAGUGGGCCACUCACAGUUGGCAGGUGUUGAAAACAUUUGAUUUGUAUUGUUUUCUUCCAUAAGAUUAUCAUAAACAAGCAUGCACCAUUUGUCAAUGGACGUUUUAAAAGCAAAUAACUAUCAAUCAAUCAGUUUUUGAAUCUGGUCAGUGCUAGUCUUUUAUGCCCCGUCCCAUAGUGGAGGGGACUAAGUUUUACCCUUCAUGAUCGUUUCCCUAGCCAACAUUGGUUAUCUCUAUUAACUUGCCUCAACCAAAUGUUAUGAAACUUGUACACAAAACUUAUUAGCACAAAACACAGAUCAAGUUCAAAUUUGGGUAGCAUCACUUUUACAGUUCUUAAAAUAUGUUCAUUUAAAAUGGUAUA
rnacentral:lncRNA from 1 species